rnacentral:rRNA from 1 species
GACGAACGCUGGCGGCGUGCUUAACACAUGCAAGUCGAACGGAAAGGCCCUGCUUUUGUGGGGUGCUCGAGUGGCGAACGGGUGAGUAACACGUGAGUAACCUGCCCUUGACUUUGGGAUAACUUCAGGAAACUGGGGCUAAUACCGGAUAGGAGCUCCUGCUGCAUGGUGGGGGUUGGAAAGUUUCGGCGGUUGGGGAUGGACUCGCGGCUUAUCAGCUUGUUGGUGGGGUAGUGGCUUACCAAGGCUUUGACGGGUAGCCGGCCUGAGAGGGUGACCGGCCACAUUGGGACUGAGAUAAGGAGCAGACUCCUACGGGAGGCAGCAGUGGGGAAUAGUGCACAAUGGGCGGAAGCCUGAUGCAGCAAUGCCGCGUGCGGGAUGACGGCCUUCGGGUUGUAAACCGCUUUCGCCUGUGACGAAGCGUGAGUGACGGUAAUGGGUAAAGAAGCACCGGCUAACUACGUG